UUAAGCGACUAAGCGUACACGGUGGAUGCCCUGGCAGUCAGAGGCGAUGAAGGACGUGCUAAUCUGCGAUAAGCGUCGGUAAGGUGAUAUGAACCGUUAUAACCGGCGAUUUCCGAAUGGGGAAACCCAGUGUGAUUCGUCACACUAUCAUUAACUGAAUCCAUAGGUUAAUGAGGCGAACCGGGGGAACUGAAACAUCUAAGUACCCCGAGGAAAAGAAAUCAACCGAGAUUCCCCCAGUAGCGGCGAGCGAACGGGGAGCAGCCCAGAGCCUGAAUCAGUGUGUGUGUUAGUGGAAGCGUCUGGAAAGGCGUGCGAUACAGGGUGACAGCCCCGUACACAAAAAUACACAUACUGUGAGCUCGAUGAGUAGGGCGGGACACGUGGUAUCCUGUCUGAAUAUGGGGGGACCAUCCUCCAAGGCUAAAUACUCCUGACUGACCGAUAGUGAACCAGUACCGUGAGGGAAAGGCGAAAAGAACCCCGGCGAGGGGAGUGAAAAAGAACCUGAAACCGUGUACGUACAAGCAGUGGGAGCACGCUUAGGCGUGUGACUGCGUACCUUUGUAUAAUGGGUCAGCGACUUAUAUUCUGUAGCAAGGUUAACCGAAUAGGGGAGCCGAAGGGAAACCGAGUCUUAACUGGGCGUUAAGUUGCAGGGUAUAGACCCGAAACCCGGUGAUCUAGCCAUGGGCAGGUUGAAGGUUGGGUAACACUAACUGGAGGACCGAACCGACUAAUGUUGAAAAAUUAGCGGAUGACUUGUGGCUGGGGGUGAAAGGCUAAUCAAACCGGGAGAUAGCUGGUUCUCCCCGAAAGCUAUUUAGGUAGCGCCUCGUGAAUUCAUCUCCGGGGGUAGAGCACUGUUUCGGCAAGGGGGUCAUCCCGACUUACCAACCCGAUGCAAACUGCGAAUACCGGAGAAUGUUAUUACGGGAGACACACGGCGGGUGCUAACGUCCGUCGUGAAGAGGGAAACAACCCAGACCGCCAGCUAAGGUCCCAAAGUCAUGGUUAAGUGGGAAACGAUGUGGGAAGGCCCAGACAGCCAGGAUGUUGGCUUAGAAGCAGCCAUCAUUUAAAGAAAGCGUAAUAGCUCACUGGUCGAGUCGGCCUGCGCGGAAGAUGUAACGGGGCUAAACCAUGCACCGAAGCUGCGGCAGCGACGCUUAUGCGUUGUUGGGUAGGGGAGCGUUCUGUAAGCCUGUGAAGGUGUGCUGUGAGGUAUGCUGGAGGUAUCAGAAGUGCGAAUGCUGACAUAAGUAACGAUAAAGCGGGUGAAAAGCCCGCUCGCCGGAAGACCAAGGGUUCCUGUCCAACGUUAAUCGGGGCAGGGUGAGUCGACCCCUAAGGCGAGGCCGAAAGGCGUAGUCGAUGGGAAACAGGUUAAUAUUCCUGUACUUGGUGUUACUGCGAAGGGGGGACGGAGAAGGCUAUGUUGGCCGGGCGACGGUUGUCCCGGUUUAAGCGUGUAGGCUGGUUUUCCAGGCAAAUCCGGAAAAUCAAGGCCGAGGCGUGAUGACGAGGCACUACGGUGCUGAAGCAACAAAUGCCCUGCUUCCAGGAAAAGCCUCUAAGCAUCAGGUAACAUCAAAUCGUACCCCAAACCGACACAGGUGGUCAGGUAGAGAAUACCAAGGCGCUUGAGAGAACUCGGGUGAAGGAACUAGGCAAAAUGGUGCCGUAACUUCGGGAGAAGGCACGCUGAUACGUAGGUGAAGCGACUUGCUCGUGGAGCUGAAAUCAGUCGAAGAUACCAGCUGGCUGCAACUGUUUAUUAAAAACACAGCACUGUGCAAACACGAAAGUGGACGUAUACGGUGUGACGCCUGCCCGGUGCCGGAAGGUUAAUUGAUGGGGUUAGCGCAAGCGAAGCUCUUGAUCGAAGCCCCGGUAAACGGCGGCCGUAACUAUAACGGUCCUAAGGUAGCGAAAUUCCUUGUCGGGUAAGUUCCGACCUGCACGAAUGGCGUAAUGAUGGCCAGGCUGUCUCCACCCGAGACUCAGUGAAAUUGAACUCGCUGUGAAGAUGCAGUGUACCCGCGGCAAGACGGAAAGACCCCGUGAACCUUUACUAUAGCUUGACACUGAACAUUGAGCCUUGAUGUGUAGGAUAGGUGGGAGGCUUUGAAGUGUGGACGCCAGUCUGCAUGGAGCCGACCUUGAAAUACCACCCUUUAAUGUUUGAUGUUCUAACGUGGACCCGUGAUCCGGGUUGCGGACAGUGUCUGGUGGGUAGUUUGACUGGGGCGGUCUCCUCCUAAAGAGUAACGGAGGAGCACGAAGGUUGGCUAAUCCUGGUCGGACAUCAGGAGGUUAGUGCAAUGGCAUAAGCCAGCUUGACUGCGAGCGUGACGGCGCGAGCAGGUGCGAAAGCAGGUCAUAGUGAUCCGGUGGUUCUGAAUGGAAGGGCCAUCGCUCAACGGAUAAAAGGUACUCCGGGGAUAACAGGCUGAUACCGCCCAAGAGUUCAUAUCGACGGCGGUGUUUGGCACCUCGAUGUCGGCUCAUCACAUCCUGGGGCUGAAGUAGGUCCCAAGGGUAUGGCUGUUCGCCAUUUAAAGUGGUACGCGAGCUGGGUUUAGAACGUCGUGAGACAGUUCGGUCCCUAUCUGCCGUGGGCGCUGGAGAACUGAGGGGGGCUGCUCCUAGUACGAGAGGACCGGAGUGGACGCAUCACUGGUGUUCGGGUUGUCAUGCCAAUGGCACUGCCCGGUAGCUAAAUGCGGAAGAGAUAAGUGCUGAAAGCAUCUAAGCACGAAACUUGCCCCGAGAUGAGUUCUCCCUGACCCUUUAAGGGUCCUGAAGGAACGUUGAAGACGACGACGUUGAUAGGCCGGGUGUGUAAGCGCAGCGAUGCGUUGAGCUAACCGGUACUAAUGAACCGUGAGGCUUAACCUU
rnacentral:rRNA from 1 species